GGCAGACGGGAGAGUACACGUGGGAACGUACCCUUCGGUUCGGAAUAACCCAGGGAAACUUGGACUAAUACCGGAUACGUCCGAAAGGAGAAAGAUUUAUCGCCGAAGGAUCGGCUCGCGGCUGAUUAGCUAGUUGGUGAGGUAACGGCUCACCAAGGCGACGAUCGGUAGCUGGUCUGAGAGGAUGAUCAGCCUCACUGGGACUGAGACACGGCCCAGACUCCUACGGGAGGCAGCAGUGGGGAAUAUUGGACAAUGGGCGCAAGCCUGAUCCAGCCAUGCCGCGUGGGUGAUGAAGGCCCUAGGGUUGUAAAGCCCUUUCGGCGGGGAAGAUAAUGACGGUACCCGCAGAAGAAGCCCCGGCUAACUUCGUGCCAGCCGCCGCGG
rnacentral:rRNA from 1 species